rnacentral:lncRNA from 1 species
AUAGAAUGGAUGCAUCAGGGUCACGAAUAUCAUUAAUAGCAUAGUAAUUAGUAGUACUAAUAUUAUAUAGAACUUCACUACUAGAUAAGUCCAUUUAUGCUAGAUAAGGAACCAUCAAUAAUAUAUAAAGCCAAGUUGUAUCAAUUUAUUACAUCAUAAGCAAGACUAGAUAAAUAGUUGUUGAUAGGACUUAUGAAAUGCUGCAUAAGACCCAAGCAGCUAUCCAAUUUUUGUUGAUACCACAAAAGACUUGCUAAAAGCAUUAAGUUAAUGAAGUUUGCAACCAAAAUAAAGUACUUGUAACAUAGGACUCAAUACAUAACAUAUUAAUAUAUAAAAGAUUUUCCAGCAGUUGGUCCAACAGAUAAGGUAGAAGGGCUGGUACUAGAAUGUGCAAAUGUCUCUUCUCCAUUAGUAUUUGCAGCCGCUCUUGUUCCUCGCAUAGCUAAAGCCUCUGCAGUAGCUGGUGAAUUAGGAGCAACAUUUCAAUAUUUUUAUAAACUAAUUAAUCAUAAAAAUUGAUAACAAACUUCUCUUCAAUUAAAAACUUUACAGGCGUAACAAAUUUAAAGAAAUAGUCACACAAUAAUGCACAACUUAAACAAACUUUUUUAUAAACAAAAUUUCAACUAGAAUAAUAGAUUUAAAAAACAGUUGCACAAUAAUGCAUGAAUUUACAUAAAUCUUGGAUUGUGAAUCUUUAUCUCAAAUAUAUUGCCAUACUAGUCAUUAAACAUGUAAAAAUCACAUGUCUUUGUUGGUAACAGAAGAAAUAUCUUACACUUAAACAAAAAUCCAAAAUAGGGAAAAAAUAACCUUAGUUGUGUAUACAUAGUUAUAGAUACUCACUUUUCAUGACAAUAGAUCAACUUUUCAAAGUCCAGUACAUGUAAUAUACAAUGAAAAUUUAAUAUUCGUGAAAAUAAAACAUGGACAGUUCACAAUACAGAAAAACCCCCUAAAUCCUUUCCAAUAAAUAUCAUAAAGAUCUUUUCCAAAUCAUUACGAGUUGUUUCCAUUGAUAGAUCACUAUGUAGGUGAGUAAAACUUUUGGUUAAAAUGCUACAAGUUAGCCGUGCAAACUAUGAUGAGUUUAAUGAUGUACCAUCCUUCCAAACUCUUGUCACUUUCAAGAAGCCAAACAACACUACUACGAUCUUCUGUUUUGUUUUGGUUAUCAAUAGGAUUAAAAAGUAAAAUAUUUGAAUAAACAAGAAGAAGUAAAAUAAUGAGAGUUUAAAGAUUAAAACUGUGAGCUAUGCAAAGGAGAAUGGGUUAAUAAAGAGGGAGAGAGAGUGUAGAAGUAUGAUGAUGAAUACGAUGAUUGGAAGAGUAGUGGCAAACAUAUGGGAGACCUCUAUAGUUUUUCCCACCAAAAAGGGUAUUUGCAUAAUUUUAAAAUAAUUUUUUGUUUUAAAAUUUGAUCAGACAUGUUUAAGGGCAUUUAGUCUUUUUCCUUACUUCCAUUAAGCAUAUGUGUCAGAAGUUAUUUUGUGGGGUUAUCUGUUAUUUUUUGAAACCAUAAGGAUUGAUUAGUACUUUGGCCUAACUUUGAGGGAGGUAAAUGUAAUUAACUCAAAUCUUUUUGAAGUUGUUCUUAAUACUUCACACAGAAAUACAGAGUUUACAAAAUUAGCCUACAUAUGAGGCUAAGAAACUUGUGUAUAAAAAGGCAAAAACUUGGAUAGACCGUUCCAUGGCUCCAUUCAUUGACCAUGUGAUUCUUAAGCGGCCACAUCACUAGCUCCGAUUCCCUUGUGAACAAUAAUCAUGACUGAUUAUACUAUCAUUUUCAGCAACUUUGAGUGUGAAAAAUAAAUCUUUCCAUCUUUACUGCUACUGCUCUUAUUCAGUUUUAUUCAAGUCUCCAGCCAAUUCCCAUUUGGCAGUAGUGACAAGCUUAUCAUUAUUUAGAUCUUUAUUGGUAUAUUUUGCAUGAAAAAAUGGAAAGAUUUAUUAAUGAAGUCAUUCAUUUUGUUCGAACGAAUAGUAAGUUCUGUACAAAAUGCAAUAAGUUUUGCUUAAGAAAUAGUAAGGUUUUGUUAACGAUAUAGUAAAUUUUACUAAAAAGGUGGUAAGAUUUGUUAAUGAAGUUAUAAUAUUUUCUUGAAAAAUAGUAAGUUUUAUAUAAAAAUGGUAAGUUUUGGAAAAAGAAGUAGUAGUUUUUGCUUAAAAAAAAUCUAGUAAGAUUUAUUAUACUUAAAUAGCAAGUUACAAAAAUUAUAAAACUUACUUGUUUUGUGCAAAAACUUACUAUUAGUUACACCAAAUUUACUAUCACAAUGUUGUCCGUAGUGAAUUUAUGAUCGCAGGUUAAAACCUACCUAUGGCAUCAUAUCCACCACUAAAUUGUUUGUUCUGGGGACUUCAGACUUUUCUUUGUAUAUGAAAAAAGAUUUCCGGCAGGCUCGGGUUUUAUCCCACUGACCGCUUUUAUUUUCAUUAGGGCACGGGUUUUAUCCCUCCGACCUCGGCAGGCUCGGGUUUUAUCCCACUGACCGCUUUUAUUUUCAUUAGGGCCCGGGUUUUAUCCCGCCAAUCUCGGCAGGACCGGGUUUAAUCCCGCUGACCGCUUAUAUCACAUUGGGACCGGGUUUUAUCCCGCCAAUCUCGGCAGGACCGGGUUUAAUCCCGCUGACCGCUUAUAUCACAUUGGGACCGGGUUUUAUCCCGCCAAUCUCGGCAGGACCGGGUUUCAUCCCGCUGACCGCUAUCUCACGUUGGAACUGGGUCUUAUCCCGCCAACCUCGGCAGAACUGGGUUCUAUCCCGCUGACCGCUUUAAUCACGUUGGAACUGGGUCUUAUCCCGCCAACCUCGGCAGAACUGGGUGCUAUCCCGCUGACCGUUUAUCACGUUGGAGCUGGGUUUUAUCCCGCCAACCUCGGCAGAACUGAGUUCUAUCCUGCUGACCGUUUACAUCGCUAUUGGAGCAUGGGUCAGUCCCGCCAGUAAGCAUUUCAUUUACAGCUACUGGAGCAUGGGUCAGUCCCGCCAGUAAGCAUUUCAUUUACAGCCACUGGAGCAGAGGUUAGUCCCGCCAGUGUGCAUUUCAUUUACAGCCACUGGAGCAUGGGUCAGUCCCGCCAGUAAGCAUUUCAUUUACAGCCACUGGAGCAGAGGUUAGUCCCGCCAGUGUGCAUUUCAUUUACAGCCUACUGGAGCAGAGGUUAGUCCCCGCCAGGUGCAUUUUCGGAUUUUUCAUAGCCACUGAGCAGAGGUUAGUCCCGCGCCAGGUGUGCAUUUCAUUUACAGCCACUGGAGCAGAGGUUAGUCCCGCCAGUGUGCAUUUUCAUUUUCAUAGCCACUGGAGCAGAGGUUAGUCCCGCCAGUGUACAUUUCAUUUUCACAGCCACUGGAGCGUGAGGCGAGUACCGCCAGUGUGCCUUUUAAUUGCAUUCGCCGCUAGCCGUUGGGUUUGUCCCACUAGUGAGCCUUUCAUUUGCAUUUGCCGCUAGCCGUUGGGUUUGUCCCACUAGUGUGCCUUUCAUUUGCUUUCGCCGCUAGCCGUUGGGUUUGUCCCACUAGUGUGCCUUUCAUUUGCUUUAGCCACUAGCCGUGGGUCAAUCCCACUAGUGAGCAGUUCAUUUUGUUUAGCCACUAGCCGUGGGUCAGUCCCACUAGUGAGCCUUUCAUUUUACUUAGCCACUAGCCGUGGGUCAGUCCCACUAGUGAGCAGUUCAUUCUGUUUAGCCACUAGCCGUGGGUUAGUCCCACUAGUGAGCAUUUCAUUUUGUUUCGCCACUAGCCGUGGGUCAGUCCCACUAGUGUGCAUUUUAUUUACUUUGCCGCUAGCCGUGGGUCAGUCCCACUAGUGUGCACCAUGAUUUUCAUUUUAUUCUGGUCAGUCCCAUGAUUAAAAGCUUAUUCGGGUCUAUCCCAUUUACAUUUCUGUUCGGGUCAGUCCCGUUUAAUUUCUGUUCGGGUCAGUCCCGUUUAAAUUCUGUUCGGGUCAGUCCCGUUUAAAUUCCUGUUCGGGUCAGUCCCGUUUAAAUCUCCUGUUCGGGUCAGUCCCGUUUAAUUUCUGUUCGGGUCAGUCCCGUUUAAAUUCUGUUCGGGUCAGUCCCGUUUAAAUUCCUGUUCGGGUCAGUCCCGUUUAAAUUCUGUUCGGGUCAGUCCCGUUUAAUUCCUGUUCGGGUCAGUCCCGUUUAAAUUCCUGUUUCGGGUCAGUCCCGUUAAUUCCUGUUCGGGUCAGUCCCGUUUAAAAGUCAGUCCCGUUUAAAUUCUGUUCGGGUCAGUCCCGUUUAAAUUCUGUUCGGGUCAGUCCCGUUUAAAUUCCUGUUCGGGUCAGUCCCGUUUAAUUUCUGUUCGGGUCAGUCCCGUUUAAUUCGUGUUCGGGUCAGUCCCGUUUAAAUUCGUGUUCGGGUCAGUCCCGUUUAAAUUCUGUUCGGGUCAGUCCCGUUCAAUUCAUGUUGGGGUCAGUCCCCUCGGGUCAGUUCCGAUUUCAAAUUCAUGUUGGUGUCAGUCCCGUCUUUUAAAUUCUUGUUCAGAUCAGUCCAUUAUAAAUUUCUCGUCCCGGUCAAUCUCGUCAAAAUGGGUCAGUCCCCAUCGUUCGAGUCAUUCACAGCCGAAUAAUGCAGGUAAGUAUUUGGUGUCUACUUCUUUGUCUCAAGUUUUUCCAAAACUCAAACAAAGAGGGGCAAACUGUAGACACCAAAUUUUUAGUGUUGUUUUCUUGUAUUUUCUUUAGUUUUUAUGUUAUUAUUUUAUUUUCUUUUCUUUUUUUAGUAAUUUUAGCAUAGGAAUUUAUUGAAAAAGAAAAAGAAAAAUCCUUCACAAAAAAUAUAUUUUAUUCCUUUUCAAAUACAAGUUAUUGUUUAUCAAUUGGAAAAAAGAGGGAAAAGAGAAAAGAAAAGAAAAGAAAAUUAGCAUUCUAUUUUUAUCUUAAUUAGCUUUUCUUCAUUAGUUAUCUAUAUUUUUUAUUAAUUAGUUAUCUAUAUUAAUUAGUUAUAAAAAAAGGAAAAAAAAGAAGAAAAGGUGUCGCAUGCAUGCUGCAUUUUUUUUUGCAACUUUGCAAGGAAGGACUAGGCGGCUCCUUGGUUGCAAAUACAGAAGAGCUGGCUGAAGUUUAGGGUUGGGGUUCCCGUAUAAAUAGAAAAGAAAGGCAGCCGCAAGGGGGGGUUUUUUGGUUGACGGCUGCAAUUUGAGAGGAAGGACAAGAGAGUAGAGGGCCGUAGGAUGAAGGGUUCUGGGGAAGUUGGGGAGCAUACAGAGAGCCAAAAAGAGAGGGAGAGCAAAACAGAGAAAAGGGGCUGAGGGAAAAGCUAAGGGGGAAGAGACAGAGGGGCUUGACGGAAGAGAAGGGAAGACUGGGAGUGGGUGGCCGAGAGUUUGAGAGCUUCCGUGAGAGAGAGUCUGAGGUUUGAGAAAAGAGAGGAUACGGGGGGAGAGAUUUUAGAGUGAAACAGCGAAAGAAAAACUGAAAAGAGGAGCUGGAGUUGCGGCUGCAUCUGGAAAAGAGAAGUUAUAGGAGGAAGACCGACGAAAGGAAGAAACUAGGAGGCUUGUUUUCCAGAAGUUCCAUAGAAGAUUGACGCCGGCUCAUUUCUUUUGGCUUCAGCCUUGUCAAAAUCUUUAUCAGGUAAUCCAUUGAACUAAAGGUUGCACCUUUGGUCCUCCUCUGUGUGCGUGGGUUUGGUUUUAGAAUUCUUGGGAUUCCAAAAUACAAGAUUCAAUCUUGAUUGUUGCCUUGGGUUGGACACUUGGUACUUGUUCGGACUUUUGGCAUGAAACCCAGAAAUUGUAGUCUAGUCAACUAGGAUUCUGCUAGGAAGAUACAUGAACUGACAUCUCUUUUGCCGCUGAUUUGUUGGGCUUGUUCCAUAGUUUCGUUAUGUUUACUCCUUGAGGUUUCUCUUGCCUUUGCUUUCCUGUUUUCUGCUGUCUUGUGCAUUUUGACCGUGAGUUUUGAAAAUAAAAAGUAUUGGCCGUAUGGUUUGGUUGGGAUUUCAUUUCCCUGUCGGUUGGUAUCUAGAUGUCAGAAUUUCUGGUUUUGGUUGCUGAAGCUUUAGUUCGAUAAAAAUCUAUGAUUUGUGGUUCAGUUAUGCAUGUCUAUUUUAAGUUUCCUGAUUUCCAUCUCUGCUGCAUUUUUUUAAUUUCUGGACCAAGAAACUUAUAAGGACUUGCGUCCCUUGCCAUUUUUUUUACUGUUAAGCAACUCAGAUUCUAGCUUUGGUCGAGUGAAUGCUCAGUCGAGUGAAUAACUGAGACUUGUAGUGUAUGUUUCUUUUGUUUAAAAAUCCGGAUGCUCAUCAGACUUGAUUGCCGAGAGUUGAUGGGUAAAUGUUUUGGUUAAUGGUAGCAAUGGAUCGAGGUUGAUGCACCUGAGCUUAUUUGAAGGAUGUAAUUUGCAGAAAAACAAAACUUCAUUAACU